UCCAAAGGGCCUCCUGCCUUGCUGGCUGU
rnacentral:piRNA from 1 species